rnacentral:rRNA from 1 species
UACGUAGGGCGCAAGCGUUGUCCGGAAUUAUUGGGCGUAAAGAGCUCGUAGGCGGUUUGUCGCGUCUGUCGUGAAAGCUUGGGGCUUAACCCCAAGUCUGCGGUGGAUACGGGCAGACUAGAGGCAGGUAGGGGAGAACGGAAUUCCCGGUGUAGCGGUGAAAUGCGCAGAUAUCGGGAGGAACACCAGUGGCGAAGGCGGCACUCUGGGCCGGUACUGACGCUGAGGAGCGAAAGCGUGGGGAGCGAACAGG